rnacentral:pre_miRNA from 1 species
UCCACUCAAUUUUGGUAUGGAGUUGGAACGCUUGCCUACGUUUGUCGCAAGGACGCUGUUACAACUGCAUACAAAUUUGAGUUA